UGAGGAUCUGUCCAAAGAGUUUUUGUUUAUGAGGCAUGUUUAUAUAUAUUUAUUAUAUUUGAAAUAAAAACUAAUUUUGAAUUUGCAGACCCUCUGAAAGGGUUGCAGGAUUUUCUGGUUGCAGAAUUCAUUUGAGAAUGAGUUAUUGAACCAUGUUACAUCACUGUGAAGCCCUCUGGAAUUAUUGGGGUGGUGUAUCUGUUCAGAUGACAAUAUUACAUCUGUUUUUGCCUCUGUUGAUCUUUGCCCAUUUGCUGUCCACUGUACUUCUUCCAUCUGGUUUCUGGAUUUCCUCACAUGAAUAUAACUCCAUCUGCUGUUCUAUUUUAUUCCUCCUUAUCUCAUUCCAUUAAAAAAAAAAAACAACUAUCCUAUUUCUCUUGAAUAAAAUGUACCUAUUCUGAGUUAUAA